rnacentral:rRNA from 1 species
CGUGGGAAUCUACCCUUGACUAAAGAAAAACGCAGGGAAACUUGUSCUWAUACCGUAUGUGUCCUUCGGGAGAAAGAUUUAUCGGUCAAGGAUGAGCCCGCGUUGGAUUAGCUAGUUGGUGGGGYAAAGGCCUACCAAGGCGACGAUCCAUAGCUGGUCUGAGAGGAUGAUCAGCCACAUUGGGACUGAKACACGGCCCAAACUCCUACGGGAGGCAGCAGUGGGGAAUAUUGGACAAWGGGCGCAAGCCUGAUCCAKCCAUGCCGCGUGAGUGAUGAAGGCCCUAGGGUUGUAAAGCUCUUUCACCGGASAAKAUAAUGACGGUAUCCGGAGAAGAAGCCCCGGCUAACUUCGUGCCAKCAGCCGCGGUAAUACGAAGGGGGCUAGCGUUGUUCGGAAUUACUGGGCGUAWAGCGCACGUAGGCGGAUCGAUCAGUCAGGGGUGAAAUCCCAGGGCUCAACCCUGGAACUGCCUUUGAUACUGUCGWUCUGGAGUAUGGAAGAGGUGAGUGGAAUUCCGAGUGUAGAGGUGAAAUUCGUAGAUAUUCGGAGGAACACCAGUGGCGAAGGCGGCUCACUGGUCCAUUACUGACGCUGAGGUGCGAAAKCGUGGGGGARCAAACAKGAWUUAMAUACCCUGGUAGUCCACGCCSUAAWCGAUGAAAUGUUAKYCCGUC